GUAUCAUACUUACACCCUGCUGAAUACCCCAAGGAUCUAGGUGUUGAUGGAAAGGGGGUAGCUCCUCGAGGCAUGAAAGUUAUGGACACCUCCUUUUCGGAGGAAUCUCGAUAAAUACUGCCUGUAUCAUCAAGACCAUGGCCACAACAUGGAGGAACGCAUCCAACUUCAGGAUGAGAUCGAAGAACUCAUCAGACAUGGCCGGUUAGAUCGAUUUGUUUGAUG
rnacentral:lncRNA from 1 species